GACAGAGGGUGCAAGCGUUGUUCGGAAUUAUUGGGCGUAAAGAGCUCGUAGGCGGUCUGUCGCGUCGGAUGUGAAAAUCCAGGGCUCAACCCUGGACCUGCAUUCGAUACGGGCAGACUAGAGUUCGGUAGGGGAGACUGGAAUUCCUGGUGUAGCGGUGAAAUGCGCAGAUAUCAGGAGGAACACCGGUGGCGAAGGCGGGUCUCUGGGCCGAAACUGACACUGAGGAGCGAAAGCGUGGGGAGCGAACAGG
rnacentral:rRNA from 1 species